rnacentral:rRNA from 1 species
UACGGAGGGAGCUAGCGUUGUUCGGAAUUACUGGGCGUAAAGCGCACGUAGGCGGCGAUUCAAGUCAGAGGUGAAAGCCCGAGGCUCAACCUCGGAACUGCCUUCGAUACUGCGGGUCUCGAGUCCGGGAGAGGUGAGUGGAAUUCCUAGUGUAGAGGUGAAAUUCGUAGAUAUUAGGAAGAACACCAGUGGCGAAGGCGGGUCACUGGAUAGGUACUGACGCUGAGGCGCGAAAGCGUGGGGAGCAAACAGG